rnacentral:lncRNA from 1 species
GCUUGCAGGACGGGAGCCCUAGGGGCUGGUUGUCGCGCUCCACAAGAUCGUGACGGCUGUUGGACGUGGUGUAUCGGUUGCUAAGGCGCGGUCUUGAGGGCUGUAGUCGGGCGCGGUCUUGAGGGCUGUAGUCGGGCCGUGAACGUCAUCUCCAUCCACCAAUCGAGUUAUCCCUGUCUCUCAUCAAAUGAUCGGGCAAAAACCCUAGCGGGUUCGCAUCAGUUGGUAAUCAGAGCAAGGUUCUUCGGUGAGAGACUUCUAAUCCUUUGCUGUUUUUAAUUAAUUUCCUAUAGUCCAGAAAAGCCAAAAAAAAUAUAGUAGAUUAGUUUUUCCAUAAUCCUAUUAAACCUUUGUGCCUUGGCUAGUACCGUUUUAGUUAGGGCUUGUUGAAUUUGCGUUGCUUCGGUUUGUGUCGAGUUGCUGGUCUUAGUGUCUAGUCCUUUAGAGUUUCGAGUUCUUGUCACCAUCUAUACACAGCCGAGUAUUACCAUAUCUUCUCUCUGUUGAAUCUGUUGCGAAGUCCGAAUUGAACUGUGGUCUUGGUCCAGAUCGAGUAGAGUUCCAAUCUGAGUUCCACCAACGUGAUAAAAAAAAGAAGGAUAACUCCAUACUUGUUCGGCCUUACUCUUCUUUUUACCGGAAUACCCCUGUACUUUCGGAAAAAAAGUGUGUGUAGCGAAUUGCUCUUUUGUAUUCUUUUGUUCAUAUAAUCAGUUUUUGAGGUUGCCCAACAAAAAAAGAAAAAAAAAGAGAAAA